GGACGGGUGAGUAACACGUGGGUAACCUGCCCAAGAGACUGGGAUAACACCUGGAAACAGAUGCUAAUACCGGAUAACAACACUAGACGCAUGUCUAGAGUUUGAAAGAUGGUUCUGCUAUCACUCUUGGAUGGACCUGCGGUGCAUUAGCUAGUUGGUAAGGUAACGGCUUACCAAGGCAAUGAUGCAUAGCCGAGUUGAGAGACUGAUCGGCCACAUUGGGACUGAGACACGGCCCAAACUCCUACGGGAGGCAGCAGUAGGGAAUCUUCCACAAUGGACGAAAGUCUGAUGGAGCAACGCCGCGUGAGUGAAGAAGGGUUUCGGCUCGUAAAGCUCUGUUGGUAGUGAAGAAAGAUAGAGGUAGUAACUGGCCUUUAUUUGACGGUAAUUACUUAGAAAGUCACGGCUAACUACGUGCCAGCAGCCGCGGUAAUACGUAGGUGGCAAGCGUUGUCCGGAUUUAUUGGGCGUAAAGCGAGUGCAGGCGGUUCAAUAAGUCUGAUGUGAAAGCCUUCGGCUCAACCGGAGAAUUGCAUCAGAAACUGUUGAACUUGAGUGCAGAAGAGGAGAGUGGAACUCCAUGUGUAGCGGUGGAAUGCGUAGAUAUAUGGAAGAACACCAGUGGCGAAGGCGGCUCUCUGGUCUGCAACUGACGCUGAGGCUCGAAAGCAUGGGUAGCGAACAGGAUUAGAUACCCUGGUAGUCCAUGCCGUAAACGAUGAGUGCUAAGUGUUGGGAGGUUUCCGCCUCUCAGUGCUGCAGCUAACGCAUUAAGCACUCCGCCUGGGGAGUACGACCGCAAGGUUGAAACUCAAAGGAAUUGACGGGGGCCCGCACAAGCGGUGGAGCAUGUGGUUUAAUUCGAAGCAACGCGCAGAACCUUACCAGGUCUUGACAUCCAGUGCAAACCUAAGAGAUUAGGUGUUCCCUUCGGGGACGCUGAGACAGGUGGUGCAUGGCUGUCGUCAGCUCGUGUCGUGAGAUGUUGGGUUAAGUCCCGCAACGAGCGCAACCCUUGUCAUUAGUUGCCAUCAUUAAGUUGGGCACUCUAAUGAGACUGCCGGUGACAAACCGGAGGAAGGUGGGGAUGACGUCAAGUCAUCAUGCCCCUUAUGACCUGGGCUACACACGUGCUACAAUGGACGGUACAACGAGAAGCGAACCUGCGAAGGCAAGCGGAUCUCUUAAAGCUGUUCUCAGUUCGGACUGUAGGCUGCGACUCGCCUACACGAAGCUGGAAUCGCUAGUAAUCGUGGAUCAGCACGCCGCGGUGAAUACGUUCCCGGGCCUUGCACACAACGCCCGUCA
rnacentral:rRNA from 1 species